GGUUAAGCGACUAAGCGUACACGGUGGAUGCCUAGGCAAUCAGAGGCGAUGAAGGACGUGCUAAUCUGCGAUAAGCGUCGGUAAGGUGAUAUGAACCGUUACAACCGACGAUUUCCGAAUGGGGAAACCCAGUGCAAUUCGUUGCACUAUCGUUUGAUGAAUACAUAGUCAAACGAAGCGAACCGGGGGAACUGAAACAUCUCAGUACCCCGAGGAAAAGAAAUCAACCGAGAUUCCCCUAGUAGCGGCGAGCGAACGGGGAGCAGCCCAGAGUCUUAAUCAGCAUUAGCAUCAGGAGAACGGUCUGGAAAGUCCGGCAGUAAAGGGUGAUAGCCCCGUAUCCGAAGGUGUUAGUGUUGUGAACUCGACGAGUAGGGCGGGACACGUGUUAUCCUGUCUGAAUAUGGGGGGACCAUCCUCCAAGGCUAAAUACUCCUGAUUGACCGAUAGUGAACCAGUACCGUGAGGGAAAGGCGAAAAGAACCCCGGCGAGGGGAGUGAAAUAGAACCUGAAACCGUGUACGUACAAGCAGUGGGAGCCCCAU
rnacentral:rRNA from 1 species